AACGCGAAGAACCUUACCCAGGCUUGACAUCCUGCGAAUUUCUCCGAAAGGAGAAAGUGCUUUAUUGAGCGCAGUGACAGGUGAUGCAUGGCCGUCGUCAGCUCGUGUCGUGAGAUGUUUGGUUAAGUCCAUCAACGAGCGCAACCCUUGUAGUUAGUUGAAUUUUUCUAGCUAGACUGCCCUGGUAACAGGGAGGAAGGAGGGGAUGAUGUCAGGUCAGUAUUUCCCUUACGUCUGGGGCCACAAACACGCUACAAUGGCCGGUACAAAGGGCAGCCAAGUCGUGAGACGGAGCAAAUCCCAUCAAAGCCGGUCCAAGUUCGGAUAGCAGGCUGAAACUCGCCUGCUUGAAGUUGGAAUCGCUAGUAAUGGUAGGUCAGCUAUACUACCGUGAAUACGUUCCCGGGCCCUGUACACACCGGAGUA
rnacentral:rRNA from 1 species